UACGAAGGGGUCUAGCGUUGUUCGGAAUUACGGGGCGUAAAGCGAACGUAGGCGGAUUGUUAAGUCAGGGGUGAAAUCCCGGGGCUCAACCCCGGAACUGCCUUUGAUACUGGCAAUCUUGAGGUCGAGAGAGGUGAGUGGAAUUCCGAGUGUAGAGGUGGAAUUCGUAGAUAUUCGGAGGAAAACCAGUGGCGAAGGCGGCUCACUGGCUCGAAACUGACGCUGAGGUGCGAAAGCGUGGGGAGCAAACAGG
rnacentral:misc_RNA from 1 species